rnacentral:rRNA from 1 species
AUUGAACGCUGGCGGCAGGCUUAACACAUGCAAGUCGAGCGGAGAUGAGGUGCUUGCACCUUAUCUUAGCGGCGGACGGGUGAGUAAUGCUUAGGAAUCUGCCUAUUAGUGGGGGACAACAUUCCGAAAGGAAUGCUAAUACCGCAUACGUCCUACGGGAGAAAGCAGGGGAUCUUCGGACCUUGCGCUAGUAGAUGAGCCUAAGUCGGAUUAGCUAGUUGGUGGGGUAAAGGCCUACCAAGGCGACGAUCUGUAGCGGGUCUGAGAGGAUGAGCCGCCACACUGGGACUGAGACACGGCCCAGACUCCUACGGGAGGCAGCAGUGGGGAAUAUUGGACAAUGGGGGGAACCCUGAUCCAGCCAUGCCGCGUGUGUGAAGAAGGCCUUAUGGUUGUAAAGCACUUUAAGCGAGGAGGAGGCUACUGAGACUAAUACUCUUGGAUAGUGGACGUUACUCGCAGAAUAAGCACCGGCUAACUCUGUGCCAGCCGCCGCGGUAA